rnacentral:tRNA from 1 species
GCGCCGGUGGUGUAAAGGCGUAGAGCAUUCCCGCCCGGUCAGAGGGAGGUGCGGGUUCGAGUCCCGCCCGGAGCU